AGAAAAACCCGUCCCAAACGUCAGAUCCCCAUCAUCAUGGAGGAGGCGGAAUGGAAUUGAUCCAGAAGAGUGUUUCUUAUUCAGACUUUUUUGCCUCAAGUUAUGAAUGAAUCGAACAAUGUUAUAAAACGGGAGCGUUUUGGCCUUUUGCCGCUUGUUUUCCUCGUCUUUUUUUUCGCAAUGAAAAUCAAGCAGGAAAAUCCAAUCCAACCAAAACCCUAGCUCUAAGAAAACAAAAUCUCAGGAAAAAUAAAUAAAAAAACAAUGGCUUUAUGGAGGGGUCGUACAGCUUCAUGGAAUCUCUUCAACAGGCUUCUCCAUCCACCGUCUCGCGUUCCAUAUCGCAGUCUGUCCUCUGUUGCGGUUGAUGUUCAUAAUCAAUCAAUGAUUGAGAAUAUGAAGAGAGAUUUACUUAAUCUUGACAUUAAUUCACAAAUUGGAAGUUGUAUGCCACUUGCUUCAAUGCGAAUCGGAACUAUUAUCCACAACAUUGAGGUGAACCCCGGUCAAGGUGGAAAGCUAGUCCGGGCGGCUGGAACUUCAGCCAAGAUCCUCAAAGAGCCGAAAUCAAGAUAUUGUUUGAUUAGGCUGCCGUCCGGUGUUGAAAAGUUGAUUGAUUCUCGGUGUAGGGCAACGGUUGGUACAGUGUCAAAUCCUAGUCAUGGAGCUAAGAAGCUUAGGAAGGCUGGACAGAGUCGAUGGCUAGGAAGGAGGCCAACAGUUAGGGGAGUCGCGAUGAAUCCAAUUGAUCAUCCUCAUGGUGGUGGUGAGGGUCGGAGUAAAAGUAGUGGGAGUUAUGGGAAGACUUCGCGAACUCCUUGGGGCAAACCUUGUAAGUGUGGGUAUAAGACUGCUAAAAGCAAGCGCAGAAAGUAAUGCUUGAUCCAUUUGGCAUCUAGUUUCUUCAUGCAUCUUCAACACUCUAAUGUUCAUUUUUUUGAAGAAUUUCUUUUAGUUGAAGAACUCAUUGUAUGGAUUGAGCUGUCGACGUUAUAUGAAGGGAGUUGAGGAAAAACUCCUUAAAGCAGGUGUCUUGGAUUUACAUAAGAGUUAAUAGAGAAUUGUUAUAGGAUAUAGACAAAGGAUGGAUUGAGCUAAUCAAUGUCUUAUUAAAGAGUUAACAUAGUAGAUUCACUGAGAAGGGUUUGCAGUAGAGAAGGAUGAACCAUUCUCUUAUUAAAAGCAUUAAAACCCAUUGAAGAAUAUGUUUCAAUUUCCCAGUAACAUUUAAAGACCUAGCCAACAGCAAAAUUAUUAGUACAAAACCAACAUAAUAAGAAAAAGGCUGAGACAUAAACGCCACCACAUCCACAUCCUCCAAUCACCCUUCCACAUCCAGCUCAUGUAGGAUUGUCAAAGGAAAUAGAUUAUAGAAAUAGACGGCAGGUACAACAGCAACAAUAACAGCACACCAAGUCGUAUAUCCUAUAUUUUGGGUUGGCUGUAUGAAAAAUCAAACAAAAAAAUCAGGUUAGGUUGUAGUUUGAAUGUCCUUACGUCACUCAUUUCUAUUAAUAACCAUCUUUUCAUCUAAUUUUUUAAUCAUCAUAUCAUUUUUUAUUACUUACAUUCAUAUAUUUCAUAGUCUACUUUUAAAUGUUUUGAUCUCUCUUAAAUCUAGAGAUUCAAUUCUCCUAAUCAGUGCAUAGUUAGGUUUACGUUUCAUAUGUUCAAACCAUUGCAAAUUGCCCUCUCUCAUUUUCUCUUCAAUUCAAACUAUCCUUAAUUUUUCUUGAACCUCUUCAUUUUUUAUUUUGUUUCUUCUAGUCUUACUACACAUUCAUCUAAACAUCCUCAUCUCCGCUACGUUCAUUUUCUUCUCAUGUUGUUUCUUAACAACCAAACACUCAGUUCCAUAUAAUAAUGCAGGCCUUACAGUUGUUUUAUAUAACUUUGCUUUUAAUUUUAAAGGCAUGUGGUGAUCACACAAAACAUCUGAUGUAUUUCACCACCUCGUUCAUUUUGCUUGAAUCCUAUGUUUGACAUUUGCUUCUAUUUCAGUAUCACUUUGAAUAAUUGAUCUCAAAUAUCAAAAUUGGUUACUCUUUGGUAUGCUUUCACCAUCCAACUUAAUCACACUAGUAUCCAUUUUCUUAUGAUUACUAAACUUACAUUUUAUAUAUUCAGUUUUAGAUCUACUCAAUUUAAAACCUUAAUAUUCUAAUGUACUCUUCUAUAAUUUUAAUUUCGUAUUAAGGGUAUCACAAGUUUUAGCAACUAAGACUAUAGCGUAGGCAAAUAACAUACACGAUGGUACCUUAUCUUGGAUACGUAUAGUGAAUUCAUUCAUAACUAAUGCAAAAAGGAAAAGACUUAGUGUUGAGUCUUGAUGUAAUCUUGAGAUAAUAGGGAAGUUCUUUGUCAUGUCCUCGACUGUCCUCACAUUUGUUACCACUCCUUCAUAUAUAUUUUUAACUUUAUUGAUAUAUUUUAAAAGGACUCCUUUUUUCAUUAAGAGUCACCAAAGCACCUCUCAAGAACUUAAUGGUAUGCUUUUUCCAAGUUGAUAAAUAUCAUAUAGAUUUUUCUUUCUCACUUGCAAACUCUCUAAUAAAAGCUUCAAAAAGUGGAUAUCCUCUCUUGUGGAGUGUCUUAGCAUAAACCAAAAUUAGUUUUAAAAAAUAAUAGCCUUGCAUCGCAACUUACAUUCAAUUUCUUUCUCCCAAAGUUUUAUAGUGUGACUCAUAAGUUUUAUUUUUCUAUAGUUCGAACAAUCUUGUAAAAAAAAAAAAUGGUAUGUAUUGAGAUUUAAAUUUUAAAUUUAUUAAAUAUUAUCUUUUAGGGAAUAAUUACUGAGAUAAUUUGAGUUCUCAACGAUAAGUAUAUUGAAAAUUAAAAAACUUGAAACUUAACUUAAUUGAUUCAUGUAAUUAUUAUUAACUCUUAAAAGAUGACAAUUAGCAAUAGAUCGAAAAUUCAAAAUUUAAAACUUA